UCCCGUAUUUGGCCCUGGGAUUGUCCGCAGGUGAUCGCCUGGCGAGUCGGGUUGCUCGGGAUUGCAGCCUGAAUGGGAGGUAAAUUUCUCCUAAAGCUAAAUACUGGCGAGAGACCGAUAGCGAACAAGUACCGUGAGGGAAAGAUGCAAAGAACUUUGAAAAGAGAGUUAAAGAGUGCCUGAACUUGUUGGGGGGAAAGCGUUUGUACCCAGUGUGUCCGCGUCGAUUCAGCCUUUCAGAGGUGCACUUUGUCGCGGGCGGUCAGGGUGGGUUUGGCCCGUCGUUUCCGUCUCUGAGCGAGGCCCUUGGGCGACCUCUUUGACCUGCGUCGGCCUGGACCGAGGCUCGCUCCUUUCCGGUUUCGGUGAAUCGUUUUCGCGGGCUCCAAGAACUUGUACCUGCGAGGCGUGCAUCCCCGGCUGGUUUUUAGCGUGACCCUGACGAAAUGGUUGCAACCGACCCGUCUAGAAACACGGACCAAGGAGUCUGACGAAUGCGCGAGCUUUUGGGUGUCAAACCCUGAGGCGCAAUGAAAGUAARAGACGUUCAGCGUCGACCGACCGUGAUCUCCUGUGAGUGGUUUGAGUACGAGUGCAUUCGUCGGGACCCGAAAGAUGGUGAACUAUGCCUGAGUAGGGUGAAGCCUGAAGAAAUUCAGGUGGAGGCUCGUAGCGAUACUGACGUGCAAAUCGUUCGUCGAACUUGGGUAUAGGGGCGAAAGACUAAUCGAACCAUCUAGUAGCUGGUUCCCUCCGAAGUUUCCCUCAGGAUAGCUGGAGCUCUUUGCAGUUUUGU
rnacentral:rRNA from 1 species